AGAAAAUAAAAGCUUUUUAGUGUCUUAGCUAUAUUUUCCUCAAAAAAAAAAAAAAAAAGAAAAGAAAAGAAAAAAAAAGAGUACUGUAAGUGCUACCAUCUCAGCUAUUCUCCACUGAAUUAAAACAUUUUCUAGCUGCUUGUGUCCACGCCUUCAUUACUGUUAUUAUUUUAAAUUUGUAAUGUUGUCAAGUUAUUCUCAUGUAUACAACAU
rnacentral:lncRNA from 1 species